rnacentral:rRNA from 1 species
AGGGUGUAAACGCUGCAGACUUGGUGUUGGAAGCCCCUUUUGGGGGCGAUUCAGUGCCGGAGAGAAGUUGUUAAGUCUGCUACUUGGGGAGUACGUCCGCAAGGAUGAAACUUAAAGGAAUUGGCGGGGGAGGCACAACAACGGGUGGAGCCUGCGGUUUAAUUGGACUCAACGCCGGACAACUCACCGGGGACGACAGCAAUAUGUAGGCCAGGCUGAGGACCUUGCCUGAAUCGCUGAGAGGAGGUGCAUGGCGUAGACGUCU